AGCCGUCCUCCAGUUCGGAUUGUAGGCUGCAACUCGCCUACAUGAAGUCGGAAUCGCUAGUAAUCGCGGAUCAGCAUGCCGCGGUGAAUACGUUCCCGGGCCUUGUACACACCGCCCGUCACACCAUGAGAGUUUGUAACACCCAAAGCCGGUGGGGUAACCUUUUGGAGCCAGCCGUCUAAGGUGGGACAGAUGAUUGGGGUGAAGUCGUAACAAGGUACC
rnacentral:rRNA from 1 species